rnacentral:rRNA from 1 species
ACGGCGAGUGAAGCGGCAAGAGCUCAAAUUUGAAAGCUGGCUCCUUCGGGGCCCGCAUUGUAAUUUGCAGAGGAUGCUUCGGGAGCGGUCCCCAUCUAAGUUCCCUGGAACGGGACGUCAUAGAGGGUGAGAAUCCCGUAUGGGAUGGGGUGUCCGCGCCCGUGUGAAGCUCCUUCGACGAGUCGAGUUGUUUGGGAAUGCAGCUCUAAAUGGGUGGUAAAUUUCAUCUAAAGCUAAAUAUUGGCCGGAGACCGAUAGCGCACAAGUAGAGUGAUCGAAAGAUGAAAAGCACUUUGAAAAGAGAGUUAAAAAGCACGUGAAAUUGUUGAAAGGGAAGCGCUUGCGACCAGACUCGCUCGCGGGGUUCAGCCGGCAUUCGUGCCGGUGUACUUCCCCGCGGGCGGGCCAGCGUCGGUUUGGGCGGUCGGUCAAAGGCCCUCGGAAGGUAACGCCCCCUCGGGGGCGUCUUAUAGCCGAGGGUGCAAUGCGACCUGCCCGGACCGAGGAACGCGCUUCGGCUCGGACGC